rnacentral:misc_RNA from 1 species
UCUCCGUAGGUGAACCUGCGGAGGGAUCAUUACUGAGUGAGGGCCCUCGUGGUCCGACCUCCAACCCAUUGUUGUCCGACUCUGUUGCCUCGGGGGCGACCCGGCGCUUCGGCGGUGCGGCGCCCCCGGAGGCCAUUAAACACUGCAUCAUUGCGUCGGAGUUAAAGUAAAUUAAACAAAACUUUCAACAACGGAUCUCUUGGUUCCAGCAUCGAUGAAGAACGCAGC